GGGAAUGUGGCUUAGUGGUAGAGUGCUUGCCUAGCAUGCAUGAAGCCCUGGGUAUGAUUCCCCAGUACCA
rnacentral:tRNA from 1 species